rnacentral:lncRNA from 1 species
GGCCACCUGGACCCAUGGGCUGGGGGAGGAGUGGGGCAGGUUGCCACCCCAGAAGGGACAUCUGCAUCCCAGAGCAGGGCCCCCUUUGGGAGCAUCUCCAAAUUCCUCUGUGGUCUGGGGUAGCCACAGCUCUUCUAUCCUUCACUGUCUUCUUGGCCCAGGAGAGGGGAAGCCAUGGCAAGCCUGGGCCAGGAUAAUGAGAACAUUCAGUGCCCUGCAC